AGAGAUCCAAAUGGAAGAGGCUGGGUCGACUUGAAGCUGGGUAUGCCCAGCAAGCACACAGUCUUUGCUUAGCAUGGCUACAGACGAAUUAAAAGAGGUCAACCACAGUCAGGAAGCAGAUGAUCCGCCUUGUGAUGGAUUAUCAGAGGGUCAAUGGUAGCCUAACCUUCCCUCACAGCGCCUAUGUCAUUCACAUCACCUCCUCUCAUUCUGCAGUCAUUCUAUCACCGCACAUCAUCACCAGAAGGAAGUUUGGAACACUUCCUCAUCCUUCUCUCCUGCCCCCAGUAGAACACUAAGCCACGUCAAUGGAUUUCUCCAGAGGGAUGGUGGACCUUAUAGAUUCCAACCUACAACUUGGCAUUUUGAAAUGGUGCUGUUUGAAAGAAAUAUUUGAGGUAGAGUGUUUCUCUGGCUCAGGAACUCUGCUUUCACCACCUUUAUUUUAAGUAACUCUUCUGCCCACAAUUGGUGUGGGAUAAUAGAGCAAUUAAAUUUAUUUCAUUAAUUUUCCAUUGUGACGUUUUGGGGAAAGGAAAUAGCUUUGCCAAGUAAGUCCUCCUAAAAUACAUCAAAAAAAGAGGAAAUUUAAAAAUCUGAAAUCAUGGGAAACCCAACAUAAGAGGUAGCUUUAAAGAUACUGCAUAUUCAAAAUGCAAAUGAAUUAAGAAUUUCCAUAUAAAAGGUGAAUUAAUUAGGAGACUUUUCUUCUCCAUUUAUGCUUUUUUUGAACCUCUGAAACUCCAGUUACUAUAGGAAAUGUAUGACUCUUCUAAAAUGUGGAAGAAAUAACUAGUAGGAUACGGAUCUGGGGAUGAGUUUAGUACUAUAUCAAUCAGCCUGAUUCAAUCAGAGAAAUCACAUCAUAAUUAGAACAAGGAAAGCAGGGGCUCCUGAGGGGUUCAGUAGGUUAAGUGUCUGCCUUUGGCUCAGGUGAUGAUCGUAGGGUCCUGAGAUUGAGCCCUUCCUCCAACUCCCUGCUCCACAAAGAGUCUGCUUCUCCCUCUCCCCCUGCUUGUGCUCACUCGUGCUCUCUCUCUCUAACAAAUAAAAUCUUUU